ACCUGGACCCGGUACAAUUGGUGCUUCGCCAGUUGGACUUUCGGUUGAAAACGUUCCGCUUGUUGUAUAGAUUGUUGUUGGAACGGGAGUUGGCGGAGCGGUAGUUAAUUGCCCUUCGCUGGGUACUAUCAGCACUCCUAUUAUGAGGAAAUAGAACAAAUUUGAGAUGACGUCCAUUACGGUAUUCUCUUAUUAUCAGCAGCUCACUUGUCAGCUUUAUUCGGAUUAAUUCACAUUUAGUACACGGGGAAAUUUUAAAAGCCCUCUUGUGAGGUGACACGUCGCCGGACCAAUGCGGCUUCAAUUAAAAAAUUGUGGUUAACCAUUGGC